GGGGGCGAUAUGGUUUCGACGGGGAUAAUUGAACUCGCAGCGGCAGGCCGAGCGACCCGGUGACUCGUUAAUCCAUUUGGGAUUUAAAUACAAAAGCAGACUCUUACGAGUACGCACUGGCCGCUUAGGCCAGCAUUCUACAGUCGACCUGGCCCGGGGCGAUUGCGGGGUGUGGUUAAAUGGGCUGGUUUCAUUUGGUUGUGGAAGGACAAAUGGAAUAAGAAAAUCUUUUCGCUGGCCUUCGGGAGAGCCUGUCCAUUGGCGCUAUCGGGGUGAGAUUUAAAUAAUGGCCUAAGCCUGUAGAUACUUCGGGGGAAAAUCUUCGGACGCGGGUUCAAUUCCCGCCGCCUCCACCA
rnacentral:tmRNA from 1 species